UUCAAAAAAGGAAUAUAUAAAAAUUAAUAUGGAUUGGAGCUCAAAAAUACCAAAUUUAUGAUUUGGUGUGGGUAGGAGAUGGUCUCCAGAUAAUGAUGAAUUUAGUCGAAAACGGUAACGACCCAACUCCACCGCCUUUGAUCGAAUACAUCCGCGAAUAUUUCCAACGCUUAAUCGCAUCCAUCUGCCAUAUUCCUCAAACCUUAUAAGGAGGCAAUUAUUUGCUUUGGUUCAAGUUGUAUUUUUUUCCCCGUGAUUUGGUGUUCUUUCAUUGAGGAUAUAUACGCUGUUUUCGAUCAAGAUAUUGUAUGAUUAACAUACCUAUGGGUAAUUAUUAUUAUGAUGAAGAUGAUGAUGGAUAAUUGUUGUGGAUCAUGAUGAUGGAUUAUUCCAUCCCUGUUCAUUUUGGCUAUAGAUUUCGUUGAUAUGUUCGUAGUGUUUUGAUUUUUGAUUUGGGUGAUUGUUGUUGAUCAAGAUACUGGGUAAUUUUUGUUGAUCAUAAUGCUUGGUAAUUAUUGUAUGGUCUGGGCAACUAUUCUAUGAUCAAGAUGUUGAUCAAUUAUUCUAUGAUCAAGAUGUGAUCAAUUAUUGUAUGAUCAAGAUAUGGGUGAUUAUUUUAUAUUGAUUCCUUUCUUUGGGGAUGGAUUGGUUUGUUUUUUGAUUUCCUGGCCAUCCCAGAAUUAUAUAAAUCACACGUUAUCGACUUCCAAAUCGGGGUUUCCAAAUAUAUUAAUGUAUGGGAUGUGGGUUUCUCAUUUUCGAGUCUUUGAUAUCUCUAUUGACAAGUUAAGGUCGAUAUGUUAAGGUUAGGUUGGAAGAGGAAGGUAGGUUUUGGGAGUUCUUGACUUUUUCCUUGAAGCCAAUUCAUUUCUUAUUGUUGUUUGUUUGAUCAGGUAUGGGUAAUGAUAGGGGAAUGAUUAUAGGUAACUACCUUCCUGUGUAUUUCAUGAUUCUCCUUCUACGCUUGCUGUUACCUUCUGCCGGUUACCUAAUACUCAUAUACUUGCCAUCCUUCAAUGUGUAGUUCAUUUAUUUAUUGUUCUCAUUUCUUGUGUUUUCAUAGUGCAUUGCAAUCCUUUUGAUUGAUUCAGAAUAUAAGUAGACAGCAGCUUCCCGAGCAAGACUGUAGUUCUGCUACAACCAUUUUUUCUGUGGUACUUUCACAUGAGUCUAUUCUUCCUUUAAUCUACUAUGAAAGGUUUUAAUAUGGCUCUCAAUAUUGAAUUUGAGGACCAACCUUUGUGGCUUUUUGCUUGUUAGAAGUGGAAAUUUAGCUCCCAGGCCUACUUGGAUCUUCUACUGUGGAAUUGUGUCACACCCAUACAGGGGGAAGCUAUCAUUUUGGAUUUGAUAUCUUGAGUUCAUCUUCGAUGGUAAUUUUUGAUGCUAGUUACUUCUCUCUGCGCAUCAACUUCUUCUACCUUCUUAGUUGGUUUGGUCCUCAAUGAGUGUCAUUCGUGGUUGUCAAGAUGGGGCAUCUAGGAGCAGGUGGUUCUCUACAGGUAUAAGUGUCUUGCUUUGCUGUGUGAGAUCGGUUGGGAAUGAUGCAGCAGUUCCAGGCCUUUGACUGUACGUCUUGGAUUUUCCAGUGUCUCAAAGCUUUAUCAAAACUGGUAUCAUAUGGAUAUCAACUGUGAUAUUUCUUUUCACUAGUGUUUAUAGUGUGUUCUGCUGCCAGUUUUAGUUGUUAGUUGUGUUCUUUGAUGAUGCUGAUGUGUUUUAAGGUGUUAUGGGUACCGGAUAAUGUCAAAAGUCAGUUCGGCAUUUUUGAUAGUGCUUCUCUGCUUUUUCUUUCCUAGCUAGUAAUCUUCUCUGCCGUUUUUCCUUUGUUAUCACGAAAGUUUAUGUUUGUAUUGGUGAAUGAAUGUGUAGACCACUACAUGGUGAUAGUAAUAGAUGAUUAGUUUUGUUCAAAGGGUUGUAUCCUGUAUGCAUUCUUGUGCACCUUGGUUUUUGGUCUUUUUGGUGACUGCACUUCAAUAUAUUGUGUAUUAUAGUAGUAGUUUAUAAUUGCAAUCCUUUUGAUUCAUUUUCAAUGUUGUUGGAAAUUGGAAGUUGGUGAGGUCCAUUAUAGAUGCAAUUUCAUGUUUGCUUCCAGGGUCUGGGAUAUUCUGAUGUUUUUGUUGUGAGGAUUUCAUGUAUAGGUGUACAUUGUUUUGUCACCCUAUAUACUAUUAUGAAACCUAGCAAUUUCCUUCUGUUGAAUCAGGAAAUUGGAAAUUUGGUUUUGAGGAUUUCAUGUAUAGGUGUACAUUGUUUUGUCACCCUAUAUACUACUAUGAAACCUAGCAAUUACCUUCUGUUGAAUCAGGAAACUGGAAAUUUGGCCCAGCAAUGCCUAAUUGGAUCUUCUAUUCUAGACCUAUAUGUCACAAUCAUACAGUGGAGCUAUCAGUUCGGUUUGAUAUCUUAACUUCCAUUUUUAAUGCUAAUGCUGAUUAUGUAUCUCCUCGCAUCAACUUCUUUUACCUUUUUAUUUGGUUUGGUCAUCAAUUAGCUGUCAAGAAUACAUGGAAGGGCAUCUAGGUGCAAGUGGUUCUACAGGAGUAAGUGUCUUGCUCCGGUGUUUGUGGUUGGGGAAGAUGCAUCAGGUCCCAGGUUUUUGACUAUAUAGUUGCUGGAUUUUUUGUUUCUCAAAGCUUUGUUGCGUUGUAGAGGUUCUCAACUAUGAUAAUCUUUUCACAAGUGUGUUCUGCUGCUAGUCAGAUGCUCGUGUGCGCUUGAUGAUCCUGAUGUCUUUUAUGUUGUUAUGGGCAUCAGAUAAGGUCAAGUGUCAACUUUGAUCUCUGAUAGUGCUAUAAAGUACUCCCAGCUACUUAAUCUUCUCUACCGUUUUCCCAUGGUUAUCAUGCCAAGUUCAUUUUGUUUAGUGGUGAAUAAAUGUGUAGAUCACAUGCUGACAGUAAUAGAGGAGUAGUUUUGGGAACUUUAAAACCUUGUAUCCGGUGCAUACCAAACUUCGACAAAAUUUGGGUUUUGAAUCUUGUCUUUUGAAUCUCUAGUGAUUUCAUAGGUGGUAUGGAGUUUAUCAGCUUAGUACUGAACUGUUCCCUUCUUUUUGUUCUUGCAGUUGGGUCUUACAAAGCAAUGCAUUAUUCUUUUCACGGAGGGGCUCUGUUUGGCCACUUGUGUUGAGGUUUCUUUUGUUCAGGUUUUUAUGAGUACUGAGGUUCUCAUUUCUAUUCUCUUCACGAAUCAGAGUACUUCCUCUCUUCCUAAAAAAUUACUCUAGCACUCUUCCGUGUUGUAUUUAGCAGCCCUUUUUAGUUUUUGUCCAGAUGCUUAUGUUCUUUGAUGAUCCAAUUGAUGAGUUUCCUGGUGCUUGAUAUGUGUAUGAUCUUGUCGACACCUGGUAAAAACUCAAAACUCAAUCCUGGAUCUCUUUCGGUUAAGUGGGUUCGCUCUUACUCCCUCACAUUGAUUGAUGAUGUGAUCAGGCUUUGCCAGUUGGUAUUUGUUCCUGUGCAUACUGUUUGCGAUUUUUCUGCUUGGACUGGAAUCUGAAUAUUGUUGUACCUUGAUAGAGGGGUUCUUUGAGAAGACGAGUUUUGCAAUCUUAUCUUUGGAAUUUUUUUUGCGGGUUUCGUUAACUUUGCAUGGAACUCUUCCGUGAAUUCCUUUGCUUGCAGCCAAUGGGUCUUACAAAGCAAGGAAUUCUUCUUUUCCCUGGAGUGACCUUAUUUGUCCAUAUUUGAUGAAGUUUUGUCAGUUCAGUCUUCUAUGAGUAGAGAUAAUACUCAACUUUUCUUCCCUAAUGACUUUUGUCUGUGUCGAAACUAUUGUUGUAUAGAAUUUUCUCAAUUAGUACAGUAUUUUGUGCUCUCCAGCUUAUGCUGCCAUGAAGAUCCAAGUGCAUGCUUGUGUUCUUUGAUGAUCCAAUGGAAAAAAAUGAAAGCAGAGAAGAUAAGAAGCUAAACGGACAAAAGUGAAAAUGUAUUUUUGGUUGUAUAGAAGUGUAGACCAUGUGGUAAUACUGUUAUGAGCACACUGUUAUGAGCGUUCAAAUCUGGAUAUUUUAAAGUUUGGCUAACCAACAUGUGAUCCUCUGCCACUUUUUGAUCUUUUGGUGCUUGCACUGCAACCUGAUAUUGUCCGGGCUUUAACAAAAGGUUUUUAAGGGGUUUUUAGUCUCAUCUAUGGCACCUCUGGUGAUUACUCAGGUGGUUUGGGAUUUGCUGGUUUGCAUUUUUAACUGUUCUUUUCUUCCUGUUCUAGCAGCCAUUGGUUAUAGGUAAGUGAGUUACUGUUUUUAGUUUUAUGGAGCGGCCGUGUUUGUCCAUUUGUGGUGAGGACUUUCAGUCAAGUUUUUUAUGAGUAUUGAGAUUAUGGAAUCUGUUUUUCUUCCUUAAUGGCUCCUUUGCCUUGUAUGGAAGAUUCUCAAUAAGAUAUUAGUUCUUACUGGCAUGUGUUCUAUUUUGCUGCCAUGAGGUUUUUAGUCCACAUGGCUUAUGUUCUUCGAUGGAGGUCUUACAUGGAUAUCGACACUUGAUAAGUACUUGGCGGAUUCUAGAUUUUUUGAUAGUGGCGUAAAAUGCUUGUUCACUUUUAUUCUUGCAACUACUUAUCUUCUCUGCUUCCAUUUCCUUUGCUUUAUCACAUGAUAUAUUUUUGGUUGGAUGGAUGUUGUAGACCAUUUGGUGACACUGUUAUCAAAGCUCGAAUUUGGAAAUUUCAAAGCUUGGUUAACCAACAUGUGAUCCUCUGUCACCUUUUGGUCUUUUUGGCACCUGGAUGUUGUCUAGGCUUUGGCAGAAGGGGUUUUUCGCUCUCGUCUAUGGCAUCUCUAGUGAUUACACUUUGGCGGUUUGGGAUUCGUCAGACAUUGCACUUGACUGUUCCCUGCUUUCUGUUCUUGCAGCCAUUGGUUACAGGGCAUUGAAUUAAUCUUUCCAUGGAGCGCCCAUGUUUGUCCGUUUGUGUUGAGGUUUUUUUAGUUGAGUCUUGUAUUGCUUUCGAGAUUUUUGAUUCAGUUUUCUUCCCUAAUGGCUCCCUUUUGUCUAUCAAAAUUAGUGUUGUAUGGAUGCUUGACUAAGAUGAUAUUUUUCACAGUGUGUUGUGAUUUGUUGCCGUGAAUCUUUUAAUCCAGACACUAUGUUUUUCGAUGAUCCAAUUGAUGAGGUCUCCUAUUUCCUCUGUAUGGUCUCCUAUUUCCUAUGUACACUUAUCAAGUAUUCUUUCAAUUCUGCAUCUUAUCUUUUGACCGGGUCAGUAAGUGCUUCUCUACUUCUGCUCUUAUAGCUACGUAUUUUCUUUGCUGCCAUCUUCAUUUACAACUUGUUUUUUCGGUUUUAUUGAGGAUGUGUGUAGACAUGAUUACAGAAAUAAGGUUAAGGUAUCCAGUAUGGUAGUCUUCUAGCUGCUACGUUCAUUCUUUGUUGCCAUCUUCUUUUGGCUAUCACAACUUGUUUUUUUUGUUUUGAUGGAUGUUUAAACUAUAUGGUGACUGUAAUAGAGGUUAAGAUAUGGAGAUUUCGAAGGUUGAUAUCCAACAUGGUAUCUCCGUACCCUCUUGGUCUAUUUGGUUCUUGCACUCCAAUCUUGGAUAUAUUUGGUCAGAGCUUCAAUGAACAGGGCUUUUUAAAUCUUGUCUAUAUGGCCUCUGUAGUGAUUUCCUUAUGGUUUGGGUUUCUUCAGCUUUGCUUGAUUCCUCUUCUUUUUGUGCUUGCAUCCUUUGGGUCUUACAGAGCAGUGAAAUGAAAUGAAAUAUUCAUUUCAUAGAGUGGCUUAGUUUUCCAUUAUUUGAGGGUUCCUUAAUUCAGGCUUUUUAUGAGUUCUGGCAUUUUCUUUUAAAAGUUUUUUUUUCUUUGUGUGUUGUAUUCUACUUCCAUUUUCACUUUUUAGUCCAGAAGUUUAUUUUCUUCAAUGAUCCAAUUGAUGAGAUUCCUGAUGGUUGUUGGUCUGUGGUCUUCUCAUGGACAGCUGACAAGUACUCAAUUUUGGAUAUUUUGAAAGCCUCAUUAAAUGGUCCUCUAUUUUGGUGUUCUCCCUGCUUAUCUUCUCUGCUUCUUUUUUGUGUAUUAUGAUAGUUUGAUCUUGUUUGUUGGAUUGAUGUAUGGUGACAGCUGAGAGGUAUAAGACGGAAGAUAUUGAGGAUUGGUGACCAGUGUGCAUUCUUGUGCACCUGUUUCUUGUGGCCAUGUUGGUGCUUUAACUACUAUCUGGAAUUAUCAGGCAUCGAAAGAAGGCAGUUUUCAGUCUUGUCUUCCAGUUAAUUCCUAGGUGGUAUGUGCGUCACCAGAUUUGCACUUAAGACUGCUCCAUUGUUUUUGUGCUUACUGCCGCUGGGUCUUACAGAGCCAUAGAUAUUUCUGUACAUGGAGUGGCCUUGUAUGUCAAUUUGUGUUUGAAGUUGUUUGGUGAUGCUUCUAAUGAUCAUUUAUAUCUUCAAAUCAGUAUUCUUCCCUAAUCAUAAAGGUUUCUUCUCUGUGGUCAAACUGCUUGACUGGUGGUCAUUUUGUUGCCAUAUUUCUUUUUUAUAAAUCCAGAUGCUUAUGUUCUUUGGUGGUUCAACUGAUAUUCUGAAGAGAUCUCUAUGGUUGUCGACAGUUCAUGAUAAGUGUAUUCAAACUCAACCGUGGAUUUGUUGAUGGCUGGGUUACAACUCCUCCACUUUUCUUGUUCUCUCUACUUACUUCCUCUGAUUUUGUUUGAUCUACUAGUUGAUUAAGUUUGGUUGGAUGAAUGUUCGUAGGGCCUCAUGAUGGUAGUCUGAUUCUUCCCUUUGAUGUGGUGUUCUAGGUUUUCCAUUGACCAAGCUUAACAUACCGGCACCAUCUAACAAGUCUCUCUCAUUCAGUUUGUGGUUCAUUUAUUGGGUGCAGUAUCUGCAGCCAUAAUCACUACUAUUUUCAAACUAAUUGUUGUUAGGUUUCUUGAGGCAUCCAAGGAUUUCCUGUUUAGGUUAUGCCAAUUUCUUUCUUGUUCUACACAAGGUAAUGAUGGUAAGGGUAUAGACCAUGCAGUUCUGUUGUUGGAUGUCAAUUAUCUCUUAAUGAAGUAAAACCUCAUCUUUGGGACCUGCAACGGAUCUUCUUUUCUGGUAUAUUCUCCUUCUUGAGGCAUCCAAGGACUUCCUGUUUAGGUUAUGCCAAUUUCUUUCUGGUUCUACACGAGGUAAUGAUGGUAAGGGUAUAUAGACGAUGCAGUUUCUGUUGCUGGAUGUAAAUGAUCAUUGUAAUAAAGUAAACCUCAUCUCUGGUAUCUGCAGCAGAUGGUAUUCUCUUACAUCUUCUCCUCCGGAACACUAUUCAGUAGAACUUUCUGGUUCUCCCUUGUAGAUGAUGCUCUGUGUAUUUCAUGUCGUUAGGCGAUUAUCUCAUUCAACAGGAAUGUCUCCAUCCCAUGUCUUCUGGUUUCUUUAUCCACCCAGAAGCUCUGAAUGGAGUACGUGUGGUAGAGUAGUGGAAUUUUAUGUGUUAUAUCUACCAUAAGAUUGUAUUGGUUGCACAUUUAUAUUGUGUUAUCCACACAAUUAGUUGGGUGGGUUCAUGCACCAAACAUGAGAAGGGACGCGAUCAAGGAGUUUCUAUGAAGCAGUCUGUUAUAGUCAUUUACAAGUUUUGAUAAUAUCGGACUCCUGUUUUAGUAUUUGUUGUAUUUGCUGAUUUGGAUCUCUUACCUGUAUGCUUUGGAUUUAGUUUGUCGUGGUUUUGCUUUUCUAAAUAUGGCCACUGAAUCAGGUAUUUCUGUUUUCUCUAAGUUCCAGUUGUCCAAACUUGCCAGAUAAUUUGAGUGGGUAUAUUUCUUCCUUUUUAUGCUCCAGUUGUCCAAUUUCACCAGAUAACUCUGAAUGGGGUACUUCUCUUCCUCGAGAGUCAUCAGUUCAGACAUGUUGGUUUGGAGAAACUUGUUGGUCCAGCUUUGUUCCUGUUUUUUCUCAAGUUCUUGUAUGUACUUCGAUAUUGCUAGAAUUAAAGGACAUAUUUUUUAGGUUAAAAUACACAAAUUCAGUUCUCUCUAGAAGAGGUGAGAAGUUGGGAGGAUGGUGAACCGGUUGUUGUGGAGCAUGUUAACAGAAAAAGGUCACAGUAUGAUUUUUACUUUGGAGCAUCUUAAACAGGAUAAGGUCCUGGUAUGAUCACCUGGAUUCCUGUUUAUACAUUGACCCAUUCUAGUCAUUUUUGCAUGUUUUGAAGUAUCUGAGUAUUUGUUCGGAUCAACGUUAAAAGGGCUUCUGGUUAUUUUGUGCGGGUGUGUGUUCAACUACACUUGAGUGUUCUUGUCACUCGUACUAAUUUAAUGUUCUUUCUGCUAUAACGUAUAGUAAAUUAUUAGUCUAUGUGCUUGUUGUAGUUUUUGGAGGAUGAGUGUUCUAUCCAGGUGGCAGUGUCGGUGAUCGAGUUUUAAAUAUUGAGUAAGAACAGAAUGCUCUCAAAAUUAUUGUUUCCACUUGCAUGUAUGGAAUGCAGUUACUUGAACAUUGGUGGUGUGUAUGUGCUAUAAUGUAUAGUAAAUUAUUAGUCCACAUGCUCGUUGUAGUUUUUGGAGGAUGAGUGUUCUAUCCAGGUUUCCACUUGCAUGUAUGAAAUGCAGUUACUGAAUAUAUGUGGUGUAUAUGUGAUAUUCCAUUGAGUAUAGGUGAAAAGUAGCUUUCUGUUUUGGGUUUUAUGAUGAGUCGGGUGUCUCAUUCUUUUGGCUUAUCUCAUAAUAUUAUUUGGUCUCUUUUGAUUUGGGAUUGGUAUUUGUGGAUUAAUAUGUUGGAUGUGAUGAACCUUUGAGUUCAGGAAAAACAAGAAGACAUUUUUAUUCAAAACAUGGACACAAUGGAAGUUUAACUCUGGAAGAAGUACUUGAUGAAACAUCCCCGAAUUUGGCAGAUGCGACACAAGGGAUGGUCCAAGAUUCCAUGUGUGUAGUGUUGGAACUGGUGCAAAAAGUUGAUUUCAGUGUACAUAUUGUUCUCUCUUUGUGAAGCUGUGAGAUGGAACACUCGAUGCAGGAGCUCCCUUAUACUAUGUGACUGACUUACUGUGGGAGUGCAACAGGUAAUUAACAACCUCUAGUUUAAGGUGAAGUAUGCUCUUGUCUUUGGUCUUUAAAGAUCUAUUGAAAAGAAAGUUCUAUUUAUUACUUUUGUCUUAAUCUUAAUAAAAAGGACUUAAGCAUCUUGGAUUCAAAUAUUCAAACAGUCUUUCUUGUUAUCGAAAUCUAAAAAAAGAUACAUAUAUGGAAAUAAAUUGCGUCCAAUGGGAUUUGUACCUAUACCAAAGGUUUAGAAGACCUAUGUCAUCUCCAUUAGACAAUGAAUGAUUUCCAUUCUGCUGUUGGAGUGCAGCCGGUAAUUUAACAACCUCUAGUUUAAGGUGAAGUAUGCUCCUGUCUUUUGUUCAUUAGAGGUCUAUAAAGCAUUGCAACCUGUUUUCGGAGGCCUCAGGAAGGUAUAUAAAUCAGAUACUCAAAUCGUUACAUUUUAAUUAUUCCUUUGCUGAAGUGUUUAGUGCAGUUGUUUCUUUCUUGUCUCUGCUUUCGCCGGGACGCACAUUCAUGUUAUUAGAUGUUUCAUACAAUAAUUAAUGGGGAUACGAAAAUAUUGUGAUACCAUAUGUCAGGCUACUCUAAGCAGUAUCCAUGUUGUCAUGUGAGGGGGACUCUAAGCAGUGUCUAUAUGGUCAUCUAUUCCAGAAAUUAAUAAGUUGUGUUUCAUACCGGAGAGGGUCAUUGAAGGAGGUGAAAUCUCAUCAUCAUAUGGUACUUGGCAUUUUUGUUUGAGCAUGUUGCUUAUGAUGUCCGUUUAGUCUCUUUUUCUGAUGCAUUACUAGAUCGAGUUCUACAUAAAUUUAAGAUUUUCAGGUCUAAUUCAUCAAAAUAACUUAGUUUUGGUUGAUCCUUGUAUGAGGAGCAUGUCUAAUACAUCACAUGAUGUCUUACAAAAGAAAAAAAACAUUUGCAUCUUUGUGAAUGUCCACGGAAAUCAUCAUGACUGGCUUUCUCCAUGGUUAGUUCUGUCUUGUCCCUAGGACUGAACUAGAUGUGGGAGAUCGAUGUAUCAGUGUCGGUGUGGCUUGGUCAACCCCACACUACAUAUUUCUAAUUGCGCUCAACUUCACACCACACAGUUUUAAUUGUUCUCGGCAGGUGGAAUUUCAUUAACUUGAUGUGGUAGCUUUACAUUUUUAUGUUUCAAGGUAAUUACUCAAACUUCUGUUCUCUUACAUCUUUUCAGUACAAAGGUAUUAAGUCCAAUAAUAAUAUUAGCUCAAGCUAUCAAAGUCACUCAUACCAUCAUAUGCAUUUUCUUGCAAUUAUAAUGGUUUUUUCGGAAUCAACAUGUGGUGGAUGUGUAGGAGUACUUCCGUACAAAAUAGUGUACUCGCCUUGCUUACUGACCAUAGCGCGUUGAGGUAAUAAACUUUACGAGGUGACUGUAAAUUAUGAAUAUUUUCGAGAUUCACCUCCAUUGGAAAUUUACCUCUUGAGGUUGUUGCAAGGUUUGAGUUUUACAGGGUGACUGAAUUAUGAAUAUUAACCAUUGAUUGCUAGAUUUUCUUUCAGGUGACCUCGUUUUAAAUUCUGCAUGUUUCUCAUGCUUCAGAGUAAGUUUUGCGGUCAUUUGUAUAAAUAUUGAUAUGGGAAGGAGGUCAAAAGAUAAUCAUAUCGAAACUGCAGCAACAUUAAAUACAUGAUCUACAACUAAAAGUUUAAACUGUUAUCUCCAAUGUCAGGAUAUUUAGUCAGAGUGAUAAAACAGUAAUUUGAGAAGGAGAGCAGUUGAAUAUUAAUAUCAUCUCGUAUUACUAAAAAUUGAAGAAAUAAAGUUAAAAGUUGAAUUAUCAUUCUUUUGUUGAUCCUUCUACUGAUUAUUCAGAUCUUCAAUUCAGUUCUCUUGCCUAAUUAGAAUGGUGUCCUCUGUCGUCGAACUGCUUCACUGGUAUUUGUUAGUUCUAUAUGAUCUCACAUUGUUUCGCAUGCCAAUUCUUCUUGUGGUUUCUUUUGAAGCAGUGUUGGUUUAUUUAUUGCUAGAUUGUGUGGUUAGAUGAAACUUGUAACUCUGCCUAUCAAAUCCAUCAGUCCCAGGUCCGGACCAAGGAGAAGGGAAGGUAUUUUAGUUUUCAAUUAAUUGUCUUUUUUUAAUUAGAAGAAAUGUUUCUCGACUUCCUAUGACUGUUUCCCCUUAUUUGUCUUGAGCAAUUCAAAUGGAACAUGUGCUGCUUUUGUAAUUCUUUUCAUUUUAUCUUAUAGGAAUUUCUAAUUACAAUAAUCGCUUGUCAGUAAUGUACAUAGUUGUUAGAGUGUUAAGGCAUGCCUUAGGCGCUUCUCAACCUGAGUGGUCAAGUGUUCUCGCUUAUCAUGCAACUAGUUUGCGGACACAUGCUUUGCACGUGUCUCCUAAGCAAAUAGUACAAUGAUAGACAUUCAUUACAAAAAAAUAAACUUAAACUCAUGAACAAUCAGAGUAUUCAAACUUCUUUGCUGAAUGACAAAUGAUUAUGUAUUGUCUGAAUCUGUAAAAUCAAAUAACAAAAAAUGGUUAGACUUAAAGUGUAGAAUGAGUUACAUUUUAAUUUAUUAAGGUGCAAACAUAUAGAUUAAUCUGGGAACUCUAAAAGCUUACAAAGAAGCAACGAUCCUUUGCAAUGAUUUUUGAGGUCCUCAUCAUCAAAAUUAAGCCCAUUAUAAGUAUUUGACAAAGUCAAUAUACUAUAAAAGAAAAAAUUGGAUACUCCUUUAAAAGUACACGAAAAGGAAUAUAUAUUUUCAUAAAUAAUCAAAGAAAAUAACCAAAUAAAAUGAGACUACCUUUAGUAGAAACCUUUAACCCGUCUCUAUUAUUUCUUCUAAUGAGGAGUCAAGAUGGGGUUUAUUAUUCCAUUUAUAAUAAGUUGAUUAGUGAGAAAAAAAUUAAGAUAACAAAUAAGAUGAAUCAUUAUCUAGUUAAAUUGGUAACAUAAGGAAAUCAAAAGGUUUUUAAUUUAUUAUGGCUUAAGUCAUCUGCAGCCACUCAAAGUUGUCCGCAUAAUUCUUUUAGACAACUCAACUAAUUCUUGUGCCAAUUGAACACUUUAUUUUUUCAAAAGUCAUUCCUAUUAGACACAAAAUGCUGACAUGGCAAAAAACGUGUAAUUCACUUUCCUUGAGCGCGUUAAUUUAUUAAAAAUACUAUUUUUCCUUUUUUUUCUUAAUUUAUACCCUUAAGUUAAUAUUUAAAAAAAUUAAUUAACAAAAAAGAAGAAGGACAAUUGUCUUCUUCCCUCUUUCUAUCAUAUUAUUCUUUCACCAUUUUUAUCUCUUUUUUUUUUACACAGCAGACCACACUCCCUCCACCUCUCUUUCUCUCACCCUCACUGUUCUUUCCUGUUUUCCUCUUUUUUCUUAUAUUGAUUUUCGUCUCAAAUAUCUCGAAGAAGUUUCAUUUACAAUGAUAAAAAAAAAUAUGAAUAGAUUUUUUUGGGCAAAAGUCUGUUAAUUUUUUUUCAAUUCUAAUAAAUAAUUUCUAAUGUAUAAAAGAUGAAGACAAUGAGUGAAAAAUUUUAAUGCUAUCGAAAUGAAAGAGAAUGCAUAUUUAGCUUGAAUAGACAACAAUAGUGUGUCAUUGUAGCUCCAUGGAAGAGAAGAAAGAGAUGGAGCUACACCAACUCCAUGGAAAAUCAGAAAUGGGUAUUUCUGAAGAAGGAGGAGGAAAGUGGGGAGGGUGGAGGCUUUAAUUAAAAAUAGAUUUUUUUUUUAAAAUUUUUAAAAAUACUUUAUGAAUUAAUUAUAUAGAGGUUUUAAAAAAAAUUAAAUGUAAUGUCACGUGUCAUCAUAUUAUUGGUAAAAUUAAUAUGAAUUCGCGUUUGAGAUACAUGCGUUUUUAUUUUUCAAUUGAUUGUUAGUUUGUGUCAAAUAGGUAUAAAUUUUUUAAGGUUUAAGUGUUCAAUAGGUACAUUCCUUAGUUGAGGUGUUUAAGUGAAAUAUGAGGACAACUUUAAGUGGCUAUGGAUGACUUAGGCCAUUUAUUAUUCUUUCAUUGGUAACAAAUAAUUACAAUAACUAAAGUAACAAUCAAUGUUGGAAUUAAAACGCAACUUAAAUUUUACUAUAUACAUAUAUCUCAGUUUUUUAGGGUUAUUUUUGUAUAUCAAAUUUCAACAUAUUUUUCCAAUUUUAGUAAUAUAUGAUAUGAUGAUUGGUAAUUAGAAAUUGUGGCAACUUAGUUUCUUGCUUAAGUGAAAAGCUGAAUGCAUUGCAGUCUGACAGCUAUUGCAAUUUAUUUAUGAUCCACUUUAACAUUGGAAUUAUUGUUUCCCGGUUGUUGUUUAUAGAUAGUCUUCAACAUGGUAUAUUACUAGGGAUUAAUUCGUGUUAAGCUUAAUAUCAUACGCAUGUGCCUAUUAAGGAAUCAUGUGUCAUGUGUGUGCCAUGCAACAUAUAUAUGUGUAUGUUCAAGAAUCAUCACUACAUAUUUCUCUCUUUAUUGAUCACCCACUGCAAGCUAAUAUUCUUUAUAAUUGUUUGCUUUUUGUUUGUGAGGUCGUUCGUGGAUGUUGCAGGUUAAUGUUUACCUGAUAAGUCUUUUCAUGUAACUUCCCGUGUCGAACAAUUAUCCUGGAUAUAUGAGCUUCAUUAUACUAUGUGAUUUAUUUGUGGGAGUGCAACAAGUAAUUUAACAACAAGAAAUUGAAAGGUUUGUGUUUCAUACUAGAGAGAGGCAUAGAAGGAGUUUAUUUUUGGUUGUCCCUUGGGAUCGAACUACAUGUGGAGAUAAAUGUAUCACUGUUGGUGUGUCUUGGUCAAUCAUUACUGUGGAAGAUCCAUAGGGCUCAAAAAGAGGGAUGGUUGGUGUGUCCAUGAUGCGAUCAAGUGUGUUUUUGGUGAUUUGACCUCUUUUUAGUUGAGAAUUCAUGUUAGGAUUGACUUUCUUCCAUAAUUUUAGUUUCAAGUGUCGGAUGAGAAUUUCGUCAGUUCCAUUGCGUCCCGAACGCCGAUUUUUGAGCUAGUGAAGUGGUUGGUAAGAUUUUCGAGGCCUUCAAGAUGAGUUUUGGUUGUUUGGGUGAGAAGUCAAGUUUUAAACCUUAAGAGUGGUCCGAAAGGGUAUUUCUGUUAUUUGACAUAUUUUCAUAAAUUCGACGAUUCCAUUGAGACCAAAGUGUUGAAUUUAGUGGGGUAGCAUGUCCAAUUUAUUCUUAUCAGACUCCGAUCGAUUUUUGAGCAUCCAAUAUGUGUCAUUUUUCCUUGUGUUGAGUUGAUGGUGUUUAGUUUCUGGUGCAUGUCAUUUUGACCUUUGCGGUCGCGGCCCUUAGGCUUGCGAUGAACCUUUCUCUCCCUUAGGCUUUAUGAUCGCGAUAUAAUCUUUCGUGCCAUUCGCGAUCAGGAGAAUUAGUGUCUUGCAUUCGCGAUGACCAAUUUCACAUAAAUAAAACCUAAAUUGAGGAUUCUUCCUAUUUUCACUCGAUUUGAGCUUAGGAGAGACGAUUCUUCAACGUUUUUCUUGGUGAAAUUCGUGGGGGUGUGGUUGAGGAAGUCCUUCAAUAGAGUUGGUCGAGUGAUGUUUUGACCUUUGAGGUACUCAGGAUCAUUAAGAGUCACUUUGUCUAGAUCACUUUGCAUUCCUUGGUUGCUUUUGGUGAAAUAAUGGAGGAACAAAAACAAUCAACUUUUUGAAAUAGUCAGAUGUCUGGUGGUAGAUGUUGAUGUCAAUUGCCUUCUCAUUACUACUACUUUUCUCAAGAAAUCCAAAUUUGAAGGAACUUAAGUUUAUCAUUUUACUAAAUUUUAUGAGUGUCAAAAAUCUAAGAUUGUGAUGAAACUUAUAUCAUCUUAAAAUAAUGUAUAUUUUCUAUUCUUUUCAUGCUACCAUAUUAUUAUUUGAGAAUUAUGUCAAUAGAGAUUUAUACAAAUCAAAACUAGUCAUCAGUUCAUCUAA